GACGAACGCUAGCGGCGUGCCUCCUACAUGCAAGUCGUUCGAGCGGCGGACGGGUGAGUAAUGUAUGGGGCUCUGCCUGAUGGAGGGGGAUAACUACAGGAAACCGUAGCUAAUACCGCAUACCAGCAGAUGAACCCAUAUGGGAUUAGAUUGUAGGUAAGGUAACGGCGUACCUAGGCGACGAUCCCUAGCUGGUCUGAGAGUAUGAUCUGCCACACUGGGACUGAGGCACGGCCCAGCCUCCUACGGGAGGCAGCAGUGGGGAAUAUCGCAGAAGGUGCGCAUGGCGGAGGCUGCCAGGCCGCGUGUAUGCAGAAGCCCUUCGGGUUGUAAAGUCCUUUCAGUCGGGAGGCGUUACCGACAGAAGAAGCACCGGCUAAUUCCGUGCCAGCAGCCGCGGUAAUAC
rnacentral:rRNA from 1 species